UCUCUAAGGACCAAGUGGUGGAGCUGAGUUAUAAACCCCAGAUUAUCUGAAAAAGUUCAUGGUACUGUGUCAAACUCUCACUCUUGGCCUUAAGCAAGGUGGCUUGUGGACCUAUUGGAUAUAGUCUAUAUCUUGUUCAUUUCUUGUUUUUAACUAUCUACAUAAUAGCUUCUGCAACUGAAACUGUUUACUGAAUUCACCCAGGGUAUGUGAGUGAAAAAAAAGCUUAGUUAAUGCUGAUUUUUAUUUUAGCUUGGCUUUUGCUUCUGCCUUCUAGAACCUCUUUCUGAUUCUAUCCUUUCUGUCCUUAUACCCCUAUGGCUACCCAAAGCUGCCCCCUUUCCAGGCAUAUUUCUUUUUCUUCUUCCCUACCUGUCUUUUAAAAUUGUCCUUCCUCCUCUCCAUUCCAGUUAAAACUCAUCUUCAGUGUCCAUGAUUGACUGACCUUUAAUCAAUGCUCAU
rnacentral:lncRNA from 1 species